rnacentral:rRNA from 1 species
UUUUUCGGGAGGGAUUUUGGAAUAAUUUAGUGGGGGGAACGGGGUGAGUAAAGGGUGGAGUACCCUGCCCUGGAGUGGGGGACAACAGUUGGAAAACGAUUGCUAAUUCAGCAUAAGCCCACGGUGCCGCAUGGCACAGCGGGAAAAGGAUUUAUUCGCUUCAGGAGGGACUCGCGUCCAAUUAGCUAGUUGGGGAGUUAACGGCCCACCAAGGCGAGGAUUGGUAGCCGGACUGAGAGGUUGAACGGCCACAUUGGGAAUGAGACACGGCCCAGACUCCUACGGGAGGCAGCAGUGGGGGAUAUUGCACAAUGGGGGAAACCCUGAUGCAGCGACGCCGCGUGGAGGAAGAAGGUUUUCGGAUUGUAAACUCCUGUCGUUAGGGACGAUAAUGACGGUACCUAACAAGAAAGCACCGGCUAACUACGUGCCAGCAGCCGCGGUAAAACGUAGGGUGCAAGCGUUGUCCGGAAUUACUGGGUGUAAAGGGAGCGCAGGCGGACCGGCAAGUUGGAAGUGAAAUCUAUGGGCUCAACCCAUAAAUUGCUUUCAAAACUGCUGGCCUUGAGUAGUGCAGAGGUAGGUGGAAUUCCCGGUGUAGCGGUGGAAUGCGUAGAUAUCGGGAGGAACACCAGUGGCGAAGGCGACCUACUGGGCACCAACUGACGCUGAGGCUCGAAAGCAUGGGUAGCAAACAGGAUUAGAUACCCUGGUAGUCCACGCUGUAAACGUUGGGAACUAGGUGUGGGGCCUGUCAUGGGUUCUGCGCCGGCGCUAACGCA